UUUUAUUUCUGGGCUCUCAAUUCUGUUCUAUUGAUCAAUUUGUCUGUUUUUAGGCCAGUAUCAUACUGUUUUAAUAACCACAGCUUUAUUAUAUAGCUUGAAAUCAAAAAGUGUGAUACCUCCUGCUUUAUUCUUCUUCCACAAAAUUUCUUUGGUUUUUAGGGGCUU